rnacentral:misc_RNA from 1 species
UGGAAGUAAAAGUCGUAACAAGGUUUCCGUAGGUGAACCUGCGGAAGGAUCAUUACCUAGAGUUUGUAGACUUCGGUCUGCUACCUCUUACCCAUGUCUUUUGAGUACCUUCGUUUCCUCGGCGGGUCCGCCCGCCGAUUGGACAACAUUCAAACCCUUUGCAGUUGCAAUCAGCGUCUGAAAAAACAUAAUAGUUACAACUUUCAACAACGGAUCUCUUGGUUCUGGCAUCGAUGAAGAACGCAGCGAAAUGCGAUAAGUAGUGUGAAUUGCAGAAUUCAGUGAAUCAUCGAAUCUUUGAACGCACAUUGCGCCCCUUGGUAUUCCAUGGGGCAUGCCUGUUCGAGCGUCAUUUGUACCUUCAAGCUCUGCUUGGUGUUGGGUGUUUGUCUCGCCUCUGCGUGUAGACUCGCCUUAAAACAAUUGGCAGCCGGCGUAUUGAUUUCGGAGCGCAGUACAUCUCGCGCUUUGCACUCACAACGACGACGUCCAAAAGUACAUUUUUACACUCUUGACCUCGGAUCAGGUAGGGAUACCCGCUGAACUUAAGCAUAUCAAUAAGCGGAGGAA